rnacentral:rRNA from 1 species
UACGUAGGGGGCAAGCGUUGUCCGGAAUUAUUGGGCGUAAAGAGCUCGUAGGCGGUUUGUCGCGUCUGCUGUGAAAAUCCGGGGCUCAACCCCGGACUUGCAGUGGGUACGGGCAGACUAGAGUGUGGUAGGGGAGACUGGAAUUCCUGGUGUAGCGGUGGAAUGCGCAGAUAUCAGGAGGAACACCGAUGGCGAAGGCAGGUCUCUGGG